rnacentral:rRNA from 1 species
UUAAGUAAGAAAGGGCGUACGGUGGAUGCCUAGGCACUUGAAACUGAAGAAGGACGCAACAAACGGCGAAACGCGGCGGGGAGCUGUACGUAAGCAAAGAUCCGCCGGUAUCCGAAUGGGGGAACCCGGCAUGCGUAAUAGCAUGUCAUCCGCAGAUGAACAAAUAGUCUGCGAGAGAGGUACCCGGGGAACUGAAACAUCUAAGUACCCGGAGGAAAAGAAAACAACAGUGAUUCCCUGAGUAGCGGCGAGCGAAAGGGGAGGAGCCCAAACCAGACCGAGGUCUGGGGUUGAAGGACCGCGAUACGGCAAGAAUCAUGGUAGGAGAACGGCAUUGAAAGGCCGACCGGAGAGGGUGCAAGUCCCGUAUCCGAAACCGUGAGGAAGCCCAGCGGGAUCCUGAGUACGGCGAGACACGAGAAAUCUUGUCGGAAGCAGGCGGGACCAUCCGUCAAGGCUAAAUAUAAGCAAGUGACCGAUAGUGAACCAGUACCGUGAGGGAAAGGUGAAAAGAACCGCGGGAGCGGAGUGAAACAGAACCUGAAACCGUAUGCUUACAAGAAGUCAGAGCACGUUAAGGUGUGAUGGCGUGCCUUUUGUAGAAUGAACCGGCGAGUUAUGUUAUCGUGCGAGGUUAAGCAGGAGAUGCGGAGCCGAAGCGAAAGCGAGUCUUAAUAGGGCGGCAGUACGAUGACAUAGACCCGAAACCGUGUGAUCUAGCCAUGACCAGGUUGAAGUUCAGGUGAAACUGAAUGGAGGACCGAACCGACCCCCGUUGAAAAGUUGGCGGAUGAGUUGUGGCUAGGGGAGAAAUUCCAAUCGAACACGGAUAUAGCUGGUUCUCCCCGAAAUAGCUUUAGGGCUAGCGUCGAGGAUGAGUCUUGUGGAGGUAGAGCACUGAAUGUACGAUGGCCCCAUCCCGGGGUACUGAGUAUAAUCAAACUCCGAAUGCCAUGAGAUAUUCCCGGCAGUCAGACCGUGGGUGAUAAGGUCCAUGGUCAAAAGGGAAACAGCCCAGACCGCCAGUUAAGGUCCCAAAAUGUAUGCUAAGUGGAAAAGGAUGUGGGGAUGCACAGACAACUAGGAGGUUGGCUCAGAAGCAGCCAUCCUUCAAAGAGUGCGUAACAGCUCACUAGUCGAGUGACCCUGCGCCGAAAAUGUACCGGGGCUAAGCAUACUACCGAAGCUGCGGAUUUGUAGUAAUACAAGUGGUAGGGGAGCGUUCCAUGCACGUGGAAGCCAUACCGAAAGGAGUGGUGGAGAGCAUGGAAGUGAGAAUGCCGGUGUGAGUAGCGAGAUGCAGGUGAGAAUCCUGCACACCGAUAGCCCAAGGAUUCCAGGGGAAGGUUCGUCCGCCCUGGGUAAGUCGGGACCUAAGGCGAGGCCGAAAGGCGUAGUCGAUGGAAAACAGGCAGAUAUUCCUGUACCCGCGAUGGAAAUGAAGGAAUGACGGAGAAGGCUAGCAUGAGCCACUUAUUGGAUUGUGGUCGAAGCGAAUAGCAGGUGCAUAGUAAAAUGCGUGCACGGGAUGUAAAACGUGACAGGUAAGCGAAACCUUUGGGGAGUAGCGAAGCAUGCGAGGCCAGCUUCCAGGAAAAGUUUCUAGUGCUGAUUCCAUAGCGGCCCGUACCAAAACCGACACAGGUGGGCAAGGAGAGUAUCCUGAGGUGAGCGAGAGAACUGUUGCCAAGGAACUCGGCAAAAUGACUCCGUAAGUUAGCGAGAAGGAGUGCUUAUGAAAGUAAGCCGCAGUGAAGAGGCCCAAGCGACUGUUUAACUAAAACACAGCUCUCUGCGAAGUCGCAAGACGAAGUAUAGGGGGUGACGCCUGCCCGGUGCUGGAAGGUUAAGAGGAUUUGUCAGUUUCGACGAAGCAAUGAAUUGAAGCCCCAGUGAACGGCGGCCGUAACUAUAACGGUCCUAAGGUAGCGAAAUUCCUUGUCAGGUAAGUUCUGACCCGCACGAAAGGCGUAACGAUUUGGGCGCUGUCUCGGCAGCAGACUCGGUGAAAUCUUAGUACCUGUGAAAAUGCAGGUUACCCGCAACUAGACGGAAAGACCCCAUGGAGCUUUACUGCAGCCUGAUAUUGGAUUUUGAUCAGAGAUGUACAGGAUAGGUGGGAGACGAAGAAGGAUGCACGCCAGUGUAUCUGGAGUCGACGUUGGGAUACCACUCUUGUCUGAUUGGAGUUCUAACCUGCGUCCAUGAAGCUGGACGGGGGACCGUGUCAGGCAGGCAGUUUGACUGGGGCGGUCGCCUCCCAAAGAGUAACGGAGGCGCCCAAAGGUACGCUCAGAUUGGACGGAAAUCAAUCGGCGAGUGCAAAUGCAGAAGCGUGCUUGACUGUGAGACAAACAGGUCGAACAGGGACGAAAGUCGGGAUUAGUGAUCCGGCGGUGCCGAAUGGAAGGGCCGUCGCUCAACGGAUAAAAGCUACCCUGGGGAUAACAGGCUGAUCUCGCCCAAGAGUUCACAUCGACGGCGAGGUUUGGCACCUCGAUGUCGGCUCAUCGCAUCCUGGAGCUGAAUUCGGUUCCAAGGGUUGGGCUGUCCGCCCAUUAAAGCGGUACGCGAGCUGGGUUCAGAACGUCGUGAGACAGUUCGGUCCCUAUCUGUUGUGGGCGUAGGAGAUUUGAGGAGAGCUGUCCUUAGUACGAGAGGACCGGGAUGGACCUACCGCUGGUGCACCGGUUGUUGUGCCAACAGCAUAGCCGGGUAGCUAAGUAGGGAAGGGAUAAGCGCUGAAAGCAUCUAAGCGCGAAGCCUACUCCAAGAUGAGAUCUCCCAUACGCAAGUAGUAAGACCCCUUGAAGACGACGAGGUAGAUAGGUCAGGGAUGGAAGCGCAGCGAUGCGUGGAGUUGACUGAUACUAAUAGGUCGAGGACUUAAUCAA